rnacentral:rRNA from 1 species
UGGGAAUUGUUCGCAAUGGGCGAAAGCCUGACGACGCAACGCCGCGUGGAGGAUGAAGACUUUCGGGUCGUAAACUCCUUUCGACCGAGAUGAAUUCCCUCCGACUUAACACGUCGGAGGGGCGACAGUAUCGAGGGAAGAAGCCCCGGCUAACUCUGUGCCAGCAGCCGCGGUAAUACAGGGGGGCAAGCGUUGUUCGGAAUUACUGGGCGUAAAGGGUUCGUAGGUGGCCAACUAAGUCAUACGUGAAAUCCCUCAGCUUAACUGGGGAACUGCGUCUGAUACUGGUUGGCUUGAGUGCAGGAGAGGAACGCGGAAUUCCAGGUGUAGCGGUGAAAUGCGUAGAUAUCUGGAGGAACACCGGUGGCGAAGGCGGCGUUCUGGACUGCAACUGACACUGAGGAACGAAAGCCAGGGGAGCAAACGGGAUUAGAUACCCCGGUAGUCCUGGCCCUAAACGAUGAAUGCUUGGUGUGGCGGGUAUCGAUCCCUGCCGUGCCGAAGUUAACGCGAUAAG